rnacentral:rRNA from 1 species
AGAAUCAACGCUGGCGGCGUGCCUAACACAUGCAAGUCGAACGAGAAAGUGGAGCAAUCCAUGAGUAAAGUGGCGCACGGUGAGUAACACGUGACUAACCUACCCUUGAGUGGGGGAUAACCUAGGGAAACCUGGGCUAAUACCGCAUAAUACCUUCGGGUCAAAGGUAGCAAUUCGCUUAAGGAGGGGGUCGCGGCCGAUUAGUUAGUUGGCGGGGUAAUGGCCCACCAAGACUGUGAUCGGUAU